rnacentral:rRNA from 1 species
AGUGAACGCUGGCGGUAGGCCUAACACAUGCAAGUCGAACGGCAGCACAGUAAGAGCUUGCUCUUACGGGUGGCGAGUGGCGGACGGGUGAGGAAUACAUCGGAAUCUACUUUUUCGUGGGGGAUAACGUAGGGAAACUUACGCUAAUACCGCAUACGACCUACGGGUGAAAGCAGGGGAUCUUCGGACCUUGCGCGAUUGAAUGAGCCGAUGUCGGAUUAGCUAGUUGGCGGGGUAAAGGCCCACCAAGGCGACGAUCCGUAGCUGGUCUGAGAGGAUGAUCCGACAGACUGCAACUGGGACGUGGUCGGGACUUGUGGGGGGGGCAGGAGGGCAGAAGAUGGGACUCUGGGCGCCAGUUAGAUGCAGCCAUACCGGGUGGUGGAAGAAGGCCGUCGUUUUGGAAAGCCAUUGUAUGGGGAAAGAAAAGCAGAAUGUUACUCCCCCGCUGUUCUGACGGCACCCAAAGAAUAAGCCCCGGCUAACUGGGGGCCAGCAGCCGCGGAAAUAGG